GAAGAAGAAGAAGAAGAAGAAGAAGAAGAAGAAGAAGAAGACGAUUGGUAGCAGCAUCGAAGAGAAAGAUUGGAACGAGAGGGAAGAAACGUGUCUUUCAAGAUCGUCGAUUCGAAGAAAGUGAGAAACGAAUCGAAGAAGGAACGAAGAGUGGCGAUUGUGUGUGGAAAACAAUGAAGAAAAAAUAUAAAACGCUGUCUGCGUUGAUCAUUUUGGGAUUGAAAUCGGAUCUAAGAGCGAAGCUGGAACGAAUGUGAGGAUUUCUAAAAAAUGAUCAGAAAAAAAUGUCUUUUUGAGAACAAAAAGCGCCAAAAAAAAUCUGUGUAUAAAGUCAGUCGAGAAUGUGUAUGCAUGUGUGACAGAGGGGAUGAAUGAAUGAGAUGGAUCGAGGAAAGGAAAGAUGCGAUAAGCAUGGAGCAAGUGACAAAGAAGACGAAUAUUGAUAAGAAGAAGAAAGAAAACAGAAGCGUUGGUGUGCAAUAAUCGUCAGGAAUGGUUUUUAUCAACUUCCUGGCGCGAAAGUUCAAAGACAAGUCGAUGGAAGAACAAAUUUUUGGUUCCUCUUCCGUCUGCGGACAAAGUAUAUGCGAGGAUCUUUUUUAGAAAGACGGAAGGAGAAGUUUCCGAUGCUAUUCGCGAAACGUUUCUCAAAAUUGACUUCAUUGAAGAAAAUAUUUCUGUACAGCACAAUUACAUACACACAAGCGUAAAGAUACACAUCCAUAUGACACGUAUGUACAUAACGCGACAGAAGCGCAGGAGAAACAAAUAGAGCCGAUUCGUAAAACGAAACGCGCGUUUAUGUGAGUCACGUGUGCAGAAAACAAAAAAAAAAAGAUCGAUACAAACACCGGGCGCACAUAACCUAACACUGUACAAUUGCAAAUAAACGAUAGACGGAGAAGCGCAAAAGAUUCCAAGCGGAGAUACAAAAUGGAGAGAAAGCUGUUUCUGUAACGGGUACGCCUGACAAUUUUCGAUUAAGGCCCCGUUACACAGGAAAGAAACACGGUACAACGCCGCGUUCCAAGUUUCUUUGGUGUUUACUUAAACGCAGAUGGAGCCACUUUAUGAACAAAAUGAAAGAUGAAGGAGAACAACAGGAGAAAAUUUGUAACGUUUCCAUAGUAUCGCAAACGAUCCUUUCUGUUCCUUGUCCCCGUCUCGUUUUUCCCAAACUUUUUCCCUACACGCUUUUCUUUGAUACUAGUGAAACAAGAACAUGGCAAGCCACGCUACGAAGCUACCUAGCUUCACCUCUUCACGACUACCCAACGAGAAUCAUCUUUAGUUUCCGUUUCCACCUUAUACCUCAACAAGUCUUAUGCAUAUCCCGUCCACAAUUUCCUUUUACUACACCCUUUUUCUUUAGGGCCCUUCUCAGGGCCCGCAAAUGCAUCAUCUACGGAGCAUCAAUCUCUUGGAUCAACAUGAAUAGAAAAUCUGUCCUUUUCAGGACAAUCUAUUAAAAACUGUCCUUUUCAGGACAAUAUAUCACAGCUGCCAUUUUUGGCUAAGCUUUUCAGGAACUUAUCCUUCGUAAGGACAAAAUUAAUCCUGCCUCAAAAUAAAAGAAAAUAAAAUUUGUGUCUGGAUAAAAUCCCAUUGCACCCGAAUUGCUUGUGUCCCUUCUAGGGGUGCGUCGCAAACUUUAAAUUUUCAGCCUGGCCAGCCUGUAUUUUGGUGCGUAUAAUGUUAAUCUUUCCAAAUUUUAACGAUUUAAUGUACAUAACCCCUAACCACAUCUUUGUUGCAGUUCUGUAAGUUUUAUACGACACAUGUUUGAUUUCCUUUGAAAAUUGAUAACUAUUGCUGACGCAACAGUUUGCGGUACGAACGGGUAAGUAUUGUUCAGCGUGACUUAAGCACAUUUGCGUAAAAACCUCAGAAGGCCAUGGAAGAUAACCGGUAUGGAACGUUCAGGAAGUAUGUCGCGUCACUCGCGUCACGUUUCGCUAGAAAAACAAGCUAGUUUUACCGUAUCGACACGACGUACUUUUCUGACAAGAUUCCAUUUUUUGUAUCGUCGUCAAGUGUUACGAUAUAAACUGAUCAACGUUAGUAAAUGUAAUUUUUUGAAACUAGAAUCUUUAUUACUUUUAUAGAUCAUCAUGUGUCGAAAAAGAUCGAAGUCACGUUUUAAAAAGUUACGCUAAGUUUAUAAUUUGUUUUUUAACAGAAGAAUGAGCCUCGAUGGAUUUGGAACGACCACAAAAAAUACUCCUAGCGAUAAAUACGCUACAAGCAUGAAAAAUUAAGUGACUUUAAUAAACUAUUUUCGAUCGUUCAGCCGAUGCAUGUUUCAUUUCGCAGUAUAAUCUUGUAGUUGUCCCACCAGACAGCUACAGUGUGGUAUACGAAUGCUCGGGCAAUGCCCUACCAAGAUUAGCAUGUAUACGUGUGCAUUCGCACAAGAACGCUUUAUUAUAGCAGACAAAUCUAGCUGUAUUAAGAUAUCUGUCUUUCUAACUUUUUUAUUCAUUUAUUCUGAUAAGAUUGUAAGAAGUUAAUCUGCCUUCACACGAUCUUCUUUCGUAUCGAUUAAAUGUAAUGAAAUACAGUAUAUGCACUGAAAUUCGCGACGGACAGUGAACUCGAAACUUAAUGGAAACGGUGCGAAGAUUGAUGGCCUUGUUUUGUUGCUUAUACGAAUCAGUAGUCAGACGUUGAACGAAAGCAAGAAGAAAAAAGUCUGCUUAUCGAUUCUCUUUUCUCAAUAUUGUUUUACGCACGUACUUGUAGCCUGCAAAUAUUUGCCUUGUAUUUUAAAACUUCAUGACGCGCGCAACCGUGUCGUUUAGUAUGACUAAUCGAAAAGACAAAGUCAUGCCUCAAAAACUGAAAGGAAGAGCGUGACGAGCAUAACUGUAUUUUAUAGAAGAGAAAUCGAUUGGUCGCUGUGAGUCAUGUUUCGCUAUUAAAACUUGAUCGUAUCAAUCGUGGAAUUUUCAUGAAUAUAUUUUUAUAUCGAAGACCAAGUGUUAAUAAAUAUAUUUUUAAGUAAUAACACGGACAAGAUUCUUCCAUUUCUAACUCGUUACUGUUUCUCAGGCUUAGAAGUACCGUCUACCAUCGGUGAUAUUGUACAAUUUUAUGUUCGAGCCAGCCCCAUAAGUUGCCAAUACAUCCUGAUUCCCGAUCAUCCACGUAAAUCCUACGAUAGUAUUUUCAAAGGAAAUCGAGCGCAGGCACGAAUGCUGAA